CCCUUUAGAAUCUGUACCCACAUACGGAUCUUUAGCUUUUAAGCAACUUUUUAUAAUCUGUCCCUACAGACUUUUAAUUUGUUUUAUUUAAAAAUUCAGGAAAAACUUCCCAAUGAUUUAGUAGCUUAAGUACUGAGGAAGAAAGUAAGUAGCUUUCGAAAUACGUAUUUACUAACUAUUAAAAUAUAUUGUAGUAGGAGCAAGCUACCUAGUUUUAUUUUUAUUUAGUCUAUAAAAUUCUAUUUUGUUUGACUUUUGUAAGUGGACGGACGUAAUUUCUAGAAUUUAAAAUGAAAAAGUUGAGUGUAGAUGAAAAGGAAAAAUUUAUAAAGAUUUUAAAAGAAAAUAGUGCUGUGUGGGAUUUGUCCGAAGCAGGGCAUCGAAAAAGUACGGCAUUGGCUGCCGCUUGGGAGAAGAUUUCCAAAGAAAUGAAAAGACCAGUUGCGGAAUGUAAGACCAUUUAAAGAUCUUUUAAAGAUUUAGCACGUUAUAGGGGAAGGAAAAAACAGUGCCAAAAAUUCGGCAGUGAGCUAAUUCAAGAUGAAAGUGAAUCUCCCGAAACUUCGAUUGGCAAUGAAGAAGAUUGUGCAGAAUUUUCAGUUUGUUUGGAUUUUUUGCAGCCGAAUUCGUCCAAAAGAAGGACUUUUUCAACAAGCACAAUAGCCACCGAGGAGGAUGUUUCGAGCCCUGCAUCAAAUGGUUCGCAGUACAAUUUCAAUGCACAGUGUUCUUCAUCAUCGCAGACAUUAAAACCUGCUACCGACUUGACGAAAGUUAUUUCCGAUAUGAUAGCAAUCAAAAAAUCAAAACUCGACGAGCCGAAAUUAAAAUAUAUGUCUAUGCAUGCCAACCUCGACCGACUAUACUGCCAAUUGCCCGCCGACGAAGUCGAAAAAUUAAAUCACGAGUUUUUUAAUAAAACUUUUGAAAGGGUUAUGGCCCAUAAAAACAACGGAAAUUUAUAGAAUAAACUAGAAUAUGUGUUACAUGAUAAAUAAAUAAAUUUGUGUUUGAAAAA